rnacentral:rRNA from 1 species
UACGGAGGGUGCAAGCGUUAUCCGGAUUCACUGGGUUUAAAGGGUGCGUAGGUGGGCAAGUAAGUCAGUGGUGAAAUCUCCGGGCUUAACCCGGAAACUGCCAUUGAUACUAUUUGUCUUGAAUACUGUGGAGGUCAGCGGAAUAUGUCAUGUAGCGGUGAAAUGCUUAGAUAUGACAUAGAACACCAAUUGCGAAGGCAGCUGGCUACACGAAUAUUGACACUCAGGCACGAAAGCGUGGGGAUCAAACAGG